rnacentral:rRNA from 1 species
GUUUGAUCCUGGCUCAGGACGAACGCUGGCGGCGUGCUUAACACAUGCAAGUCGAACGGUAAGGCUCCAGCUUGCUGGGGUACACGAGUGGCGAACGGGUGAGUAACACGUGGGUGACCUGCCCUGCACUUCGGGAUAAGCCUGGGAAACUGGGUCUAAUACCGGAUAGGACCAUGGUGUGGAUACUGUGGUGGAAAGUUUUUUCGGUGUGGGAUGGGCCCGCGGCCUAUCAGCUUGUUGGUGGGGUAAUGGCCUACCAAGGCGGCGACGGGUAGCCGGCCUGAGAGGGUGGACGGCCACAUUGGGACUGAGACACGGCCCAGACUCCUACGGGAGGCAGCAGUGGGGAAUAUUGCACAAUGGGCGGAAGCCUGAUGCAGCGACGCCGCGUGGGGGAUGACGGCCUUCGGGUUGUAAACUCCUUUCACCAUCGACGAAGGGUUUCUGACGGUAGAUGGAGAAGAAGCACCGGCUAACUACGUGCCAGCAGCCGCGGUAAUACGUAGGGUGCGAGCGUUGUCCGGAAUUACUGGGCGUAAAGAGCUCGUAGUGGUUUGUCGCGUCGUCUGUGAAAUUCCGGGGCUUAACUCCGGGCGUGCAGGCGAUACGGGCAUAACUUGAGUACUGUAGGGGAGACUGGAAUUCCUGGUGUAGCGGUGAAAUGCGCAGAUAUCAGGAGGAACACCGGUGGCGAAGGCGGGUCUCUGGGCAGUAACUGACGCUGAGGAGCGAAAGCAUGGGGAGCGAACAGGAUUAGAUACCCUGGUAGUCCAUGCCGUAAACGGUGGGCGCUAGGUGUGGGUUUCCUUCCACGGGAUCCGUGCCGUAGCUAACGCAUUAAGCGCCCCGCCUGGGGAGUACGGCCGCAAGGCUAAAACUCAAAGGAAUUGACGGGGGGCCCGCACAAGCG